UCUUUGUGAACCAAGAGUUUUUUGUGUUGUGAAACCAAACACUUAAUUCCUUUCUUUUCGGUUAUUCCAAUACAAUGACACCAUGCCUUAGGCCCCUCACUUGUUGGUUUAUACCAUUUUUACUCUUGGGUUCAUACUUUCACCCUUGUUGGAGCUCAAACAACAUUAUCCUUUGGUUUAGACCAUACUGUUAUCACAAAUCUUUU
rnacentral:lncRNA from 1 species